rnacentral:rRNA from 1 species
CCAGCAGCCGCGGUAAUUCCAGCUCCAAUAGCGUAUAUUAAAGUUGUUGCAGUUAAAAAGCUCGUAGUUGGAUUUCUGGUGCGCGCGGUCGGUCUGCCCGUCUGGGCAUGCACUACGCUGUCGCGCGCCAUCUUUGGGGAGAGCGGCGUCUGGCAUUAACUUGUCGGGCCCGGGACCCCCAUCCUUUACUGUGAAAAAAUUAGAGUGUUUAAAGCAGGCUUACGCCGUUGAAUACAUUAGCAUGGAAUAAUAAGAUAAGACUUUGGUGGUCUAUUUUGUUGGUUUGCACACCGAGGUAAUGAUUAAUAGGGACAGUUGGGGGUAUCCGUAUUUCGUAGUCAGAGGUGAAAUUCUUGGAUUUACGAAAGACGAACUACUGCGAAAGCAUUUACCAAGGAUGUUUUCAUUAAUCAAGAACGAAAGU